rnacentral:tRNA from 5 species
GGGGUUAUAGCUCAGUUGGUAGAGCGCCGGCUUUGCAAGCCGGAGGUCGUCGGUUCGAAUCCGACUAACUCCACCA